rnacentral:snRNA from 1 species
UCCUUCAGGGAGAAGUCCACUCU